rnacentral:SRP_RNA from 1 species
CGUCGUCCGACUGGCAGGAGAGGCGUCCGUCGGGACCGAGGUGGUCGGCCCAGUUGCUGCGGCCCUCGCGGAAGAGGACGGUGCGACCGGUGAGGCUGUCGACCAGACCGGUGGGCCGCUGGACGAUGACGGCGCGCAGCACGCCCGCACUG